rnacentral:rRNA from 1 species
AUUGAACGCUGGCGGCAGGCCUAACACAUGCAAGUCGAACGAGUGGCGGACGGGUGAGUAAUGUCUGGGAAACUGCCUGAUGGAGGGGGAUAACUACUGGAAACGGUAGCUAAUACCGCAUACCAUCAGAUGUGCCCAGAUGGGAUUAGCUAGUGGGUGGGGUAACGGCUCACCAAGGCGACGAUUCCUAGCUGGUCUGAGAGGAGGACCAGCCAGAAUGGUACUGAGACACGGUCCAGACUACUACGGGAGGCAGCAUGGGGGAAUAUUGCACAAUGGGCGAAAGCCUGAUGCAGCAAUGCCGCGGGUAUGAAGAAGGCAUUCGGGUUGUAAAGUACUUUCAGCGGUGAGGCGUUACCCGCAGAAGAAGCACCGGCUAACUCCGUGCCAGCAGCCGCGGUAAUUC